CGCAGUUUCAUGAUUAAAACAAUGUGAGAUAAUUAUUUUGUAGGAUAUUUGACCCCAAAAGGCCGCUACAAGCUAUCUGGUUGAUGUAAAAUAUAAAAGCCAAUUAGGUUUAUAAUUUGAAAAUCAUUUAAAGUUGUGUCAAAGUAUAACUUACUUUUCCCAAUGACAUUUGACUGAAUUGAAUGGAGAUUUACCAAAACUAAUGAAAUUUAAUCGAUAUUCAUUGGUUUUGUAUCGGUCACAAUGUUAAAGUAAGGGAAAAAAGGAGGACAUACGUAUAGUAAAAAUACUUUGUAUCGAACAUUUGAUCCUAUAAAAUUUAUAUUAGGAUUGAGGAUUAGGAUUCGUUGUAACAUCACUAAGCAUCAUUUCGUUGAUUCCAAAUUAGUACACCUUAGAACACUUACUUUUCAUCGUUGCCGGCCAUUAUGUCGUCUACCUCCACAGCGCGGAGCAGU